UGAGAUAUAGUUUCCUUUCACUUCAAAAUAACUGUACAUUAGGUUGAGAGACAAAAAAAAUUCAUUGUCUACAAUUACACAUACUUUCUGAUUAAUUUAUUGGUUAGCCCAGAUUUAGUUCAUCACGCACAACUUAUUUUUCUGCAUGUGCAUUUGGGACAAUAACCUGGCAUAUGAAACCUUUAAAAUUUACAUUUAAAAAUUUAUAUUUGCACUGGGAUGACUUUGCCAAUAACUAGAACUCCCUCAAAAACAAAGGCUAGGUCCCUGACUCCUAUAGGCAUGACCAAGAGUAUACUACAAAAUGAUUCGUCUGAGACUGAAAUGUUUUUUUCCUGCUUCCCCCUCAGAGACACAUUGUGGAAAAAUUCUAGAACUUUUAGAAUAGACAUUGUGUGCUUGACUCCAGCGAUCAAAGAUUCUGAAAUAUUGAGGCCCCAUUUGAGAGUCAUACACUUAUACUAGUUUUAUUUGUUGUUGUUGUUUAUAAUCUGAAGAAAUGAACUUCAGCCAUCUAGAACAAAAAUAAUUGGAUUUAUUGGAGGGUUACGGACUGAGUAAUCAUUAGAGUCCAACUAAGUGGUUAACAGAACAGGACGUGAAAGCAGACAGCCCGUCAGACCACAGGCCUGUGCAUCAAAGGAGUGGUCCACUCCAAGCACCAUCAGCAGAGCAGCAGAGCUCUCUGCCUCUGGGAACAAGCGGGAGAUAGAAGACUUUCUCCUUAUCCUCAGAGGACUUCUCCUCUUUUACAAGCAGCCUCCUGCUGUUCCCUUUUGGGGAAUGGAGCAGGGGUCGCUUCCCUUCCCACAAGACCUUUGUUCAGGGACUCACGUGGGAGGUUGAGCAAUAAGCAAGCUUUCUUGCUUAGAGGCUCCGCACACUUCCUGCGGUUGUUUGUUCCACCCUGCGGUUAGUCAAGCAAGCUCACCGCCUGAUUCUUAUGUUGUUGGACUAAGCAGAAGCUAUUCUUAUGAUUCAUGACUAUAUUAAUAAAGCACUAUUCUAAAGCAUAUAUUGUUAAUCCUUAAACAGGCACACCGUAGGCCGGCCCUCAACCACCUCGGCCCACAUCCAAG
rnacentral:lncRNA from 1 species